rnacentral:miRNA from 1 species
UAGGGUCAUCAACAGCCAUGGUUUGCCUGAGACUGAGGGAUUUCCCAGCAUGUGGGGCUCUCUGUGUUAAAACCAG